rnacentral:rRNA from 1 species
UACGUAGGGUGCAAGCGUUGUCCGGAAUUAUUGGGCGUAAAGAGCUCGUAGGCGGUCUGUCGCGUCGGCUGUGAAAACCCGGGGCUCAACCCCGGGCCUGCAGUCGAUACGGGCAGACUAGAGUGUGGUAGGGGAGACUGGAAUUCCUGGUGUAGCGGUGAAAUGCGCAGGUAUCAGGAGGAACACCGGUGGCGAAGGCGGGUCUCUGGGCCAUAACUGACGCUGAGGAGCGAAAGCGUGGGGAGCGAACAGG